AUGUCUUUGCUUAUUUGUGCGGGAUCUGGGUCAGUGUUAGUCAUUCUUGUGACUCAUGGUUGUUACCAUUGCCUUUUUUGGGUUGUUCAUAGUUUAUGUGUUCUGGUCUUUGUGAAUCUUUGUAUGGAUACUUAUUAUGUAUUGGAAACAGUAAACAGUAUUUGCUGUCUGGAACUACAACCUAAAUUAUGUUUAUCAAGGGCUGUACUAUUAAAUUACAUUAUACCAUUAUAUGAUACAUUUAAGUUUUUAAGAAGGCUACUGCUAUUGUUGUUAACAUGGGAAAGUUCUAUGAUUGGUUUCAAAAUUUUAAAGGAGUUCUAG